UGAAACUUGCGUGGAACGGG
rnacentral:miRNA from 1 species